AGAGUUUGAUCCUGGCUCAGGUUACUGCUAUCGAGGUUCGACUAAGCCAUGCGAGUCGAAUGUAGCAAUACAUGGCGUACUGCUCAGUAACACGUGGACAACCUACCCUCAGGUCGGGGAUAAACCCGGGAAACUGGGUAUAAUACCCGAUAGAUCUCGGCUGCUGGAAUGCAUCGAGCUCUAAAGCUCCGGCGCCUGAGGAUGGGUCUGCGGCCUAUCAGGUAGUAGUGGGUGUAGCGUACCUACUAGCCUACGACGGGUACGGGUUGUGAGAGCAAGAGCCCGGAGAUGGAUUCUGAGACACGAAUCCAGGCCCUACGGGGUGCAGCAGGCGCGAAAACUUUACAAUGCCGGCAACGGCGAUAAGGGGACCUCGAGUGCCAGGUUACAAAUCUGGCUGUCGUGAUGCCUAAAAAGCAUUGCAUAGCAAGGGCCGGGCAAGACCGGUGCCAGCCGCCGCGGUAACACCGGCGGCUCGAGUGGUAACCGUUAUUAUUGGGUCUAAAGGGUCUGUAGCCGGCCGGAUAAGUCUCUUGGGAAAUCCAGCAGCUUAACUGUUGGGCUUUCAGGAGAUACUGUCUGGCUCGAGGCCGGGAGAGGUGAGAGGUACUUCAGGGGUAGGGGUGAAAUCUUGUAAUCCUUGAGGGACCACCAGUGGCGAAGGCGUCUCACCAGAACGGACCUGACGGCAAGGGACGAAAGCUAGGGGCACGAACCGGAUUAGAUACCCGGGUAGUCCUAGCCGUAAACGAUACUCGCUAGGUGUCGGCCACGGUGCGACCGUUGUCGGUGCCGUAGGGAAGCCGUGAAGCGAGCCACCUGGGAAGUACGGCCGCAAGGCUGAAACUCAAAGGAAUUGACGG
rnacentral:rRNA from 1 species